rnacentral:lncRNA from 1 species
GAGAACACGGGUGUGCCAGAGGCGAUUGCGUGUUGCGAGAAGAAAAGCACGUCCAGUAGCUCGCGAAAAACAAGGGGAGAUUAGAGAGGGUAUGCAGAUGUAGGGAAGAGAGAGGCAACGUCCUUUUUCAUGGCCGCGUUCGUGAUCCGUUCGUGAUCCGCUAGAUGGAUCUACAGUGCUUCGCAACCCUCUAAAACGCGUAUCUGCGACGCUUUACGCGAGCAGGGCGAGCUGUUGGACUCAGCCUUAUCUAGUCAACGCAUCCACUCACUUCCUUUCGUCCUCCUGCUCUCUGUGUGUGCCACGCAAGCGCCCUAUCCACCAUUAGAGUCGCUCGUUCUACAACGACGUGCUAGCUAGCCGAUGGCUACGACCACGAAACCACUCAGAUCGUCCGCUGCUCUGCCGCACGGGUAAGCCCCCCCCCGUCUACUGGUAAAUCGCUCUGUUCUCCCAAUCAUCUGGUAUCCCUAGCUAGCCAUUAGUUGUCACAGUUGGUUCCCGCUAAGCCCAUCCGCCGGUUUAAGUCGGCUAAUCGUGUGUUUGCGUCGAUUAGCCACUCCUUGAAGCCAAUUAAUUACUCCCCCAGUAGCUGAUAAGCUGGCCGGUGUAGUAGUUAAGGUUUGGGGAUUUCCCCUUUUUCACUUCAAAUCUUAUAAAUUAUCACGGUUACUUACUGCUAUUUGCAAUAAUGACCAACAGUGCUUGCAAUAAUAGCUCAUAUUACUGAUAUUUUCAGGGAUGCUGGAUCGGAUCGAUCCAGUUUAGGAGCAUUGGAAUAACAUAUCUUGUAUUCAAGUGCAAGUAUUGUAAGGAACAAUGGAAGGAGGGCGGUGCUACUCGUUUUAGACAAUACCUUACAUCACGUGGACGAAAUGUGCAAGGUUGUCGCAACGUUCCGUCGGACGUUUGCAAUUACUUUCGACGGGAGCUUGACAAGGGACAAUAUAGAAGGGAAAGCAAGAAUACUGGAGGAGGUAUGAAAGUUAGCAUUGGCGGGUUCACCUCAAUGAUGACGAUGUUGAGUUGCAGGUCGCAUUACAUGCUUUAAGAGAUGAGGAGGAACUUAGGAGGCAUGCUUGCGCGAGUAGUGGCACGUAUGAGAGGGUGAUGGCUCCUCCCAUGGGGGUGUUCAUGGCAUGUUUGGAAGAACACCUUUUAGGAAGGAGAAACCACGCAUGGUCCGACCAAGGAUUGAUAAGGCCUCGUUUUCGAAGGCAGUAAGGAAUGACGUCCAUUUCAUUGGUAAGCCUAUUGGACCCCCGAGUCUGGUAGUGAUAGACAAGGUUCAUCUUCACCCCUUCUUCCCUAUAUCAAUUAUCCAAUUGGUGAAGUGACUCAGUAACCCAUGAGGUGGGUGUAUCAAUGGGAGGAGCCUGAGUACUAAAUAUUAAUGGACUCAUGGAGUACGACUUCUGCGUGGACCAGACAGACUUGGACGGAGUACAAAGGAAUGUUGAUGUGUGAGCAAGGUAUUAUAUUAUUCUCAUCGGAAGGGUAUAAUGUGACAUAUGAUCAAUGGAAUGCUUACCCGUGGGCAUGAUGUUCACCGGAGGGUGUAUUGUAUCUUUGAUGCUAUUCAUGAACUAUGAAAUUGUGGCAUUAAUGUAUUUGCACUUCUAAAUAUUGUGAUUGGACUUGUGAUAAGAUAUGGACCAUUUUUGUUGAAUUUUUGUAAUCAUAAUGGACUUUAUUUGACAAAAGGGGUCAAUUUCCCUUUGUCUACAACCAGUU